rnacentral:lncRNA from 1 species
UUGAAUUAUUAGACAUAAUAUCAACUAUUGCACAUUGCAUACACUGAAAGAAGCAGGUGAUGUGGCCAUAAGUGCAUGGAAGUGGCAGCCAUUUUUCCAGUUUAGGAGCAGCGUUUUUGAGUGGGGGUGGGUCUCUAUGAUGCCAGUUGUCUUACAUAUAACUAAGGGUGUAACCACAGUGAAUUGGAGAUCUGAUUUAGGAAAGUGGAAAAAAUGCAGAUUAAGGGAAAUGCAAGCUAACUAGAAGUCUAAUCUCUUUCAUUCUAAGUUUAUUCAGAUCUUUCAACGAAAGUCAGAACAUAACUCAACAGUGUCACUUGCCAUUUUUGGAAAGGCUGAAUGGAUUGGGUAGUGAGGAAAGGGGGUUGUGGUUUAUUUGCCCUUUUUCAUCCUCUUCUGGAAAGGGGUAGGACCUGGUCUAAUGAGUCCCUAAUGAUGAUCUGCGGAAUCAGAAGGCAAAGCCAAGGAAAGCCCAUGACACCGUGGACUCUUCAGGAGAGGAUGAACAGACUGCUAGUUGACUUAGCAGGUUUUGCAUUGAGAUGGAGAAGAAUGAAACCAAGAGUAGAAAUCAGGCUUAUGGUGCAGCAACUAAGAGGAUGUGCUGAACUGAAUGGAGAUUGAAGAAUUUGGCAGACAGUGCACCAGAGCAUUCUAGAAUCCGGUUUAAUUUAUUUACCACAUACUAUGAACUUUGUACUUUAUGACUUUCCAAAUAACAUAAACUAGACUCUGAUGGUCAAAGUUCCCUGAGGACGACUUCUAUCUCUCUGUGAUGCUCUGAAGUUUCUGAUAGGGAGAGCACUGCUCCCUCCUUG